rnacentral:rRNA from 1 species
CACGUAGGCACCAAGCGUUGUCCGGAUUUAUUGGGCGUAAAGAGCUCGUAGGCGGUUCGGUAAGUCGGGUGUGAAAACUCUGGGCUCAACCCAGAGCCGCCACCCGAUACUGCUGUGACUCGAGUGCGGUAGGGGAGCGGGGAAUUCCUGGUGUAGCGGUGAAAUGCGCAGAUAUCAGGAGGAACACCAGUGGCGAAGGCGCCGCUCUGGGCCGUGACUGACGCUGAGGAGCGAAAGCGUGGGUAGCAAA